GGAAGUAAAAGUCGUAACGAGGUUUCCGUAGGUGAACCUGCGGAAGGAUCAUUAUUGUAUAACCGAGGUGCGAGGGCUGUCGCUGACCCGAAAGGUCGUGCACGCCCGAGUGCCCUCACACACAUCCAUCUCACCCCUAUGUGCACCACCGCGUGGGUCCCCCUUUGGCUUGUUCGGAGGGGGGCUUACGUUUUCACACGAACUUUGUAUGCAGUGUAGAAUGUAUUUUUUGUUUUUGCGAUCACGCAAUCAAUACAACUUUCAACAACGGAUCUCUUGGCUCUC
rnacentral:misc_RNA from 1 species